CACUCCUACGGGAGGCAGCAGUGGGGAAUAUUGGACAAUGGGCGCAAGCCUGAUCCAGCCAUGCCGCGUGAGUGAUGAAGGCCCUAGGGUUGUAAAGCUCUUUCACCGGUGAAGAUAAUGACGGUAACCGGAGAAGAAGCCCCGGCUAACUUCGUGCCAGCAGCCGCGGUAAUACGAAGGGGGCUAGCGUUGUUCGGAUUUACUGGGCGUAAAGCGCACGUAGGCGGACUAUUAAGUCAGGGGUGAAAUCCCGGGGCUCAACCCCGGAACUGCCUUUGAUACUGGUAGUCUUGAGUUCGAGAGAGGUGAGUGGAAUUCCGAGUGUAGAGGUGAAAUUCGUAGAUAUUCGGAGGAACACCAGUGGCGAAGGCGGCUCACUGGCUCGAUACUGACGCUGAGGUGCGAAAGCGUGGGGAGCAAACAGGAUUAGAAACCCCAGUAGUCCCAUG
rnacentral:rRNA from 1 species